CAGCCGUAAACUAUGCGCGUUAGGCGUAUCGGUGACCACGAGUUACCGAGGUGCCGAAGGGAAACCGUGAAACGUGCCGCCUGGGAAGUACGGUCGCAAGGCUGAAACUUAAAGGAAUUGGCGGGGGAGCACCACAACAGGUGGAGCCUGCGGUUUAAUUGGACUCAACGCCGGGAAGCUCACCGGAUAGGACAGCAGAAUGAUUGCCGGGCUGAAGACCCUGCAUGACUAGCUGAGAGGUGGUGCAUGGCGUCAGUGACU
rnacentral:rRNA from 1 species